UCCAAGUUUUACAGAACAAAGCCUUUUGUUAAAGGGAUUUGUUCUGUGAAGUUUGUAUU
ensembl:miRNA